rnacentral:lncRNA from 1 species
GGAAGAAGUAAAAUCAACUCUAAUGCCAACCAGAAGAACCAAAGAAUCAAAGAAAGAUGGAGGAAGCUGUCACAGUCAAGUACCAAACGAAAGCCAGGAGAUCCGAGCAUCAAUGGUAGAAGUCAAAAGCAUCGGAUGAAGGAUCCUAUUUCCAUUGAUGACUAAGUGACCUGGUGCCCCGAAGCUGAUGCAGGAAAGGCUGCAGCACAUUACUGAGUCGGGUGUUGUCUACUCAGAAGCAUUCCGUAUUCCAACGCGGCAGUUAGAAACUCUUUGAAGUCUGUCUUAGCCGUCUGUUCGUCUUUUAAAUUGUCAAUAAUAUUAACACAACAAUCAACACA